UACGUAGGGGGCAAGCGUUGUCCGGAUUUAUUGGGCGUAAAGCGCGCGCAGGUGGUGGAUUAAGUUGUGGGUAAAAGGCAUUGGCUCAACCAAUGUAAGCCUGCAAAACUGGUUCACUUGAGUGCAGGAGAGGGGAGUGGAAUUCCCGGUGUAGCGGUGGAAUGCGUAGAUAUCGGGGGGAACAUCAGUGGCGAAAGCGGCACCCUGGCAUUAGCCUGACGCUCAUGUGCGAAAGCGUGGGGAGCGAACGGG
rnacentral:rRNA from 1 species